AAUCAACGCUGGCGGCGUGCCUCAGACAUGCAAGUCGAACGCGAAAGUUUCCUUCGGGAGACAAGUAGAGUGGCGCACGGGUGAGUAACACGUAGGUAAUCUACCUUUGGAUGGGGAAUAACAACCGGAAACGGUUGCUAAUACCGCAUAAUGCAGCGGCACCUAAUGGUGACAGUUGUUAAAGCGGGGAGUCGAAGAACCUCGCGUCUGAAGAGGAGCCUGCGGCGGAUUAG
rnacentral:rRNA from 1 species